GACGAACGCUGGCGGCGUGGAUUAGGCAUGCAAGUCGAACGGUAGGGUCCUUUCGGGGAUCUGAGAGUGGCGAACGGGUGAGUAACACGUAGGUGAUCUACCCUCAAGACGGGGACAACCCAGGGAAACUUGGGCUAAUACCGGAUGUGAGCUAUCGCGAGAUAGUUUGAAAGGUGGCUUCGGCUGCCGCUUGAGGAUGAGCCUGCGUCCUAUUAGCUAGUUGGUGAGGUAACGGCUCACCGAGGCAGUGAUAGGUAGGCGGCCUUAACGGGUGGUCGCCCACACUGGGAUUGAGAUACGGCCCAGACUCCUACGGGAGGCAGCAGUCGAGAAUAGUCUACAAUGGUCGAAAGACUGAUAGUGCGACGCCGCGUGAACGAAGAAGCCCUUCGGGUGUAAAGUUCUUUUAUAUGUGAGCAGUGACACCCAUAUUAAUAGUAUGGGUGUAGAGAUAUUAGCAUAUGAAUAAGCAACGGCUAACUCCGUGCCAGCAGCCG
rnacentral:rRNA from 1 species